AUGGGGAUUGGGAUAACAGGGAAUGGGGAUUGGGAUAAUAGGGAAUGGGGAUUGGAUAACAGGGAAUGGGGAUUGGAUAUGCACACGCAUACACAUACAUGUACAUACAUGCACAUGCACGGACAUAUACAUACAUGUACAUGCACACACAUACAUACACAUACACGGACAUAUAGAUACAUGUACAUGCACGGAUGUACAUACACAUACACGGACAUAUACAUACAUGUGCAUGCACGCACAUACAUACACGUACAUGUAUAUAGAAAUACAUGCACAUACAUGUACAUACACAUCCAUGUACACGCACAUGCACACACAUAUCCAUGUACAUAUACAUACAUGUACGUUUACAUGCAUAUACAUACCCAUAUAUGUACACACAUGUACCUACACACGCGUACAUACAUGUACAUACACGUAUGUACACACGUAUGCACACACGUUCCUAUGUGCACACACAUGUACAUACACACAUGUGCAUAUGCACAUGUACAUACACACGUACAUACACGUAUGUACACAUAUGUAUGCACAUACGUUCCUAUGUGCACACACAUGUACAUACAUAGACAUGCAUAUGCACCCGUACAUACAUACAUGUACGUACACACGUGCACGCACACACACGUGUACAUACACACAUGCACAUACACGUAUGUACACACCUGUACGCACACAUGUUCAUAUGUGCACACACGUGUACAUACGUACAUGUACAUACAUACAUGUAUGUACACACACAUGUACACAGCCGUGUACAUACACACACGUGUUCAUACACACACAUGUACACACGCACAUACCUGUACACACAUGUACAUGCACACACAUACACGUACAUACAUGUACGUAUACGCAGUCCUAUGUACAUACACACACGUGUCCAUACACACACAUGUACACACAAACCUGUAUACACAUGCGCACACAUACACGUACAUACAUGUACAUACAUAUGUACAUAUGUGCACAUGCAUAUACAUGUACAUACACAUACAUGUACGUAUACACGUGUACAUACACAUGUACAGGCAUGUACAUACAUGUGUGCGUACAGACAUGUACAUACAUACGUGUACAUACAUGUACAUACAUACACACAUAAACAUACAUGUACAUACAUACGUGUACAUA
rnacentral:lncRNA from 14 species